rnacentral:rRNA from 1 species
UAGAUACCCCACUAUGCUUAGCCUUAAAUCCUGGCACUUCCUAGACUAAAGUGCCCGCCUGAGAACUACGAGCACAAACGCUUAAAACUCUAAGGACUUGGCGGUGCCCCAAACCCACCUAGAGGAGCCUGUUCUAUAAUCGAUAACCCACGUUACACCCGGCCGCUCUUUGCCUGCUCAGCCUACAUACCGCCGUCGCCAGUCCACCUAUCUUGAAAGAAUAGCAGUGAACAUAACAGCCUUAACCACGCUAAAAAGACAGGUCAAGGUAUAGCCCAUAGAGCGGAAGAAAUGGGCUACAUUUUCUACCCUAGAAAAUUACGAAAGGGGGCAUGAAACUUCCCCCAGAAGGCGGAUUUAGCAGUAAAGUUGGACCACAAUGCCAUCUUUAAGCCGGCCCCGGGGCACGUACAUACCGCCCGUCACCCUCCUCGUAAGCUAUUAACCUAAGUAAUUAACGCCAACUUCUAGCUAGAGACGAGGU